GAGUAAAUGAUUUGUUUCCCUGCAUGCUGUGUGGUGCUGCUGGUAUUUAUAAGUUAAGAAAAUGCGGAGCGAUCCGUGUAAAUUGUGUGCUGAAAUCAGACCUAUUAUUUGCAUGCAUUUUGAGGGCAGUAAAUAUACUAUAUGAUCCUUUGAAAUAAUCAACAAAAAUGUAUUUUAAAAAACUAAAAAAAAUUGAAAAUGUCCAGAUUUUAGUCCUUGCAUAUUAUUAUGUUUUGAGUGACUGUGCAUGUUUGUGUGCAGAACAUCAGAUAUUAAAUGUGUCUUCAUUUAAGUUUUCUCAAGAAACAGUGAACAAUCAGACAGUUUUGACACAAUCAAAUACUUUGAAGAAGGAAAUAAACUCAUAUUAGAAAACAAUAAACAAGUGGUUUGAUUUUGGUUCUGAGGCUAUGCAGUUGUGGCAGACUGAGGCAACCGAAUACAAAAUGCUCCUGUGCAGAAGGAAUGGGUCACCCAGACUAGACAAUGGAGGGACUCACCAAGCGGUAUAUUAAACAGCUCAGCAAGGCUGUGCAGCAAAACCCACAGUAUACACUCAGUGGUGAGCAGCUGCUGGAGUACAUCAUUGUGUCAGAGGAUCCAGCUGUGGCCAUCACAGUUAUUCAGUCUUUGAGGUAAACCUCUGUAGCUUGUUAGUCCCCAUAGGGAAAUAGUUCCUCUGCAUUUAAUCCAUUCACCCAGUGAAGCAGUGGGCAGCCACCAGUGCAGCGCCCGGGGAGCAGUGUGUAGGGACGGUACCUUGCUCAGGGGUACAUCAGGGUAGCCGUUCAGUGGAGUCGAACCCCCGACCUUCCGAUCAUGGGGCCACCACUCUACCUACUGAGCUAUCCCUGCCCCCCCCCCCCCCUUUUUUUUUCUUUUUUUUUUUUUUUUUAAUUAUAGGUCACUGGGUUUCCUUCUCUGAAAAGUUAAUGUUUCAAAGAAACUGCAGGAACUUUUUUGUUUUACAACAAUCAUUACUUACUAAUUACUGACCAUAGGUCUGGUUUUUCUUUUUAUGUGGCCUUUUUCAGCUUUAUUAGAUAAAUUUAGUAAAGAAAUGACAGGAAAGCAGGUGCAGAGAGAGAAGACAUGCAGCAAAGGACUGUGGGUCGGACUCAGCUAUAUGGCAUGUGGGUACCCACUCAACACGCUGAGCUAAAAACCCAGGUCUGGUUUUUUAUCCAAUUUCCAGGUCAAAAUUUCUAGAAGCUAAUUUCUUCUACAGAUGUUAAAAACCGUUAACUGCUAAAACUUCUUAAGUUAGACUCAUGCAAACAUCCUCAUUUAAAUAUCAGUCUAAGUAGACAUAAUGGGAGUUUUACAUGUAUGUUCAUGUGUCAUACUUUAAUCAUACAAUCAUGCUUUACGUUUAAAUUAAUGAUUAUGAUCCAAAAAUUGGUUAAGUAAUUGUCUAAG
ensembl:lncRNA